GCGGGAAUGGGCAAAUGGUAAAGUCGCCCCCUUCAAACGGGGGAGCCUGAGGGUUCGAGUCCCUCUUCCCGUA
rnacentral:tRNA from 1 species